AUGAACGCUGGCGGCGUGCCUAAUACAUGCAAGUCGAGCGAACAGACGAGGAGCUUGCUCCUCUGACGUUAGCGGCGGACGGGUGAGUAACACGUGGAUAACCUACCUAUAAGACUGGGAUAACUUCGGGAAACCGGAGCUAAUACCGGAUAAUAUAUUGAACCGCAUGGUUCAAUAGUGAAAGACGGUUUUGCUGUCACUUAUAGAUGGAUCCGCGCCGCAUUAGCUAGUUGGUAAGGUAACGGCUUACCAAGGCAACGAUGCGUAGCCGACCUGAGAGGGUGAUCGGCCACACUGGAACUGAGACACGGUCCAGACUCCUACGGGAGGCAGCAGUAGGGAAUCUUCCGCAAUAGGCGAAAGCCUGACGGAGCAACGCCGCGUGAGUGAUGAAGGUCUUCGGAUCGUAAAACUCUGUUAUUAGGGAAGAACAAAUGUGUAAGUAACUAUGCACGUCUUGACGGUACCUAAUCAGAAAGCCACGGCUAACUACGUG
rnacentral:rRNA from 1 species